CGAGGGGUGCAAACGUUAUUCGGAAUUACUGGGUGUAAAGGGUACGUAGACGGCAUCUUAAGUCAAUUGUUAAAUUCCCCGGCUUAACUGGGGGCAGGCGAUUGAAACUAGGAAGCUAGAGAGUGGAAGAGAGAAGUGGAAUUCUCGGAGUAGCGGUAAAAUGCGUAGAUCUCGAGAGGAACACCGAUGGCGAAGGCAGCUUCUUGGUCCAUUUCUGACGUUGAGGUACGAAAGCGUGGGGAGCAAACAGGAUUAGAUACCCUGGUAGUCCACGCUGUAAACGAUGAUCACUAGACGUUAGGCUUGCUUGCAGGCUUAGUGUCGCAGCUAACGCGAUAAGUGAUCCACCUGGGGACUACGGUCGCAAGAUUA
rnacentral:rRNA from 1 species